GUACAUCCUGAGAGAUAAACACAGGACAUGAGAAAUAUUUAUGUAGCUAAAUACAUUAUUUUUUAUACACAUUAGUACAGAACUUAGCAUUGUAAGCAGGGUUUGCGAGGGAUACGAUUAUCUUUGCAGAACCUUCAAAGUUGUCUUUGGAAAAAUUUGGAAAAAAGCAGGACCUGGAAGCAGUGUAAGAAAGUGACGGUUGUCUGCAUGGAAGACACUUACGAAUCAUAAUUAUCUCUGAAGCCUUUAGCGAAGGGGUUGUGGUCGAUCUUGAGCUGUGUGAUCUGCAAAUAAACAAACACCAGGAGCUGAAGAGCAGCACAAAAGCAGAAGUGGCUGUAUGAAGUUGUGGCUGUAUGAAGCUGUGGCUGCAGGUUCUGCUUACGUCUGUGUUCUGGUUGAGGUCUCUUUAAACGUGAACAGAGGAUUUGACCAGGCCUAAAGCUGAUGCUCUCUUAUAGAAGAAAACUGCAUGGGUUUACUCUUCAAAGCAAAGACUCUGCACCCCAAAUCUGAAAAACACCCAGACUCACACUGAAGGACAGACCUGAUCCACAUCUAAGGAGAAGAAGGAACUCCACAGAGGCUCUUUUGACUUGGUUCAGACGGCGUGCAGACGCAGUUUUCUGCAGCAGUUCAGCGCAGGAGCAGACGCGUGCAGACGUCUCUGAUGUUGAUCUUUGAUGAGGAGUCUCAAUAUUUAAGGUGCAGGCCAGAAGAGGUCUGUGUAUUUAUCUGAAAUGGUGUAAAACAGUCUGGACGGGCCGCCUGUUGACUGGACUCAGAUCAGUAUCAGACGCUCAUCAGAUGGGCCUACAGCAGCCAGAGAUACCCACCCAACAGUCCUGAUGACAGCAGGCUCUCCUGAUAAACACACACACACACACACAAUCCAGCAAUGACAGACAGACGAAUAGACACACAGUAUCCGUUGAUAUAUCACAAAUCUGUGCAUUGCAUAGAUGGAUGGUUGGUUGGAUAGAUGGAUAGAUAGAUGGAUAGAUAGA